CAAUCAAACUCAUUUGGCAAUGGUUUGGUAGCCAUCAUUGCUGUUUCACUGAGCGAUAAUAGAUAUUUUGUAGCAAACCUUCAAUAGAUUAAA